CGGGUCGUAAAACUCUGUCCUCAAGGAAGAUAAUGACGGUACUUGAGGAGGAAGCCCCGGCUAACUACGUGCCAGCAGCCGCGGUAAUACGUAGGGGGCUAGCGGUAUCCGGAUUUACUGGGCGUAAAGGGUGCGUAGGCGGUCUUUCAAGUCAGGAGGGAAAGGCUACGGCUCAACCGUAGUAAGCUCUUGAAACUGGGAGACUUGAGUGCAGGAGAGGAGAGUGGAAUUCCUAGUGUAGCGGUGAAAUGCGUAGAUAUUAGGAGGAACACCAGUUGCGAAGGCGGC
rnacentral:rRNA from 1 species